CCCGAUGAACCUGAAUAUCCAUUAUGGAAAAUUCAUCAUUAAUUUUUUAAUAUUUAAAAUAUUAUAAAAAUGGUGUGCAAUUUUUCCAUAUAAGGACAUUGUAAUCUGUUAAUGUGUUAAAUAUUUAUCAAAAAAUCUUUUACAUUAGUUUAUUCAAAUUAGUUGUUUUUAAUGACUAACAUAGAAUAAUUGUAUUAGAUUUGAUAAAUCAUUGACAGAUUUAAUUAUAUAUAAUGCUCAAAUUCUUCGGAAUUUUACAAUGAUAGAGAAAAUCUUUUGAUUUUUUUUAUUUAUAUUGUAUGCAAUUAUAUGAUUAACAAUGCAAUAGAUUCAGGAUACCUUCGGGACCCGUCUUGAAACACGGACCAAGGAGUCUAACAUAUGUGCAAGUCAUUGGGUAUUUUUAAUAAAACCCAAUGGCAUAAUUAACUUAACUGUUUUAAAUGGGAUUAGUUUUUAUUUUAUUAUGAAAUAUAAAUUCAAUCCCGGGGCGUUCUAUAUAGUUAUGCAUAAUGGUAUUUAUAUUAUUUAUGCCUCUAACUAGAGCGUACCUUGAGCAUAUAUGCUGUGACCC
rnacentral:rRNA from 1 species